GAGGACCAAAGUUCUAGCCACAGUCCCUAUAAAUAAAGAUCUGGUGGUGGGUGUUGGCUGUUGGACCUUGGAAAAAUCUUUGACCAUGAAGUCUAUCCUGUUCUUUGGUGUUCUAAUUGGGUAUAUAUUCUGCCAGGAAACAUUCGUUGGAGACCAGGUUCUUGAGAUCACACCAAGGAAUGAAGAACAAGUUAAAAACCUAAGACAACUGGAAACAGAAGCUCACUUUCAGAUUGAUUUCUGGAGGCCCCUCACCACUGCAGGGGAGAAGGUACAUGUCCGAAUUCCCUUUUCCAGACUGCAGGCAGUCAAAAUUUUCUUGGAGUCCCAUGGAAUUCCUUAUUCCAUCAUGAUUGAAGAUGUACAGGUUCUGCUGGACAAAGAGAAUGAAGAGAUGCGUUUUCAUCAAAGAAGAGAAAGAAGUGGAACCUUCAAUUUUGGAACCUACCAUACCUUGGAAGAGAUCUUCCAAGAAAUGGACAACCUUGCUGAGCAGUACCCAGAUCUAGUGAGCCAACUGCAAAUAGGAUAUUCUUUUGAAAAACGGCCCAUGAAUGUGCUUAAGUUUAGCACUGGAGGAAACAAGUCUGCCAUCUGGUUAGAUGCUGGGAUCCAUGCCCGAGAGUGGGUUACCCAAGCUACAGCAUUGUGGACAGCCAAUCAGAUUGCAUCCGAUUAUGGAAAGGACCCAUCCAUCACAGCCCUUUUGGAUACAAUGGAUAUUUUCCUCUUGCCUGUUACAAACCCAGACGGAUAUGUCUUCUCUUACACCAAAAAUCGCAUGUGGCGGAAGACCCGGUCCACGGUUUCUGGAAGCCUCUGUGUUGGUGUUGAUCCAAACCGGAACUGGGAUGCAGGCUUCGGAGGACCUGGAGCCAGUAGCAACCCCUGCUCUGACUCAUACCAUGGACCAAGUGCCAACUCAGAAGUUGAAGUGAAAUCCAUCGUGGACUUCAUUAAGAACCAUGGAGAAAUCAAAGCCUUCAUCACCCUCCACAGCUACUCUCAGCUGCUCAUGUACCCCUAUGGGUAUAAAUGCACCAGCUCAGAUGACUUCAGUGAGCUGAAUAAAGUGGCUGAAAUAGCUGCUGAGUCUGUGGCAUCCCUUUAUGGCACCAAGUACAAAGUGGGACCGAUCUGUUCUGUCAUAUUGGAAUCAUCUACCUUGCUUCCUGUCCGAUGAUGCCAUGAUGCUCUCCUGUGCAGGUGUAGAACACCUGCUCUACUCCGCCCCAGAAGUGGUUACAUUUCUAUGGCAAGUAAAACAUUCCUGGCUGCUGUGUCCCCAACUGACCAGGCCAGUGGAGGAAGCAUUGACUGGUCCUAUGACUAUGGCAUCAAAUAUUCCUUUGCCUUUGAAUUGAGAGACACUGGUC